GUUGUUGCAUUAUUCGUGUGGGCACCAAGGAUGUCGGCCUCAGCUUGUCCCGCGCGACAUCAUUGGUGCCGAGCUCCCUCUUCUUCACGUUCUUGUCCGUCUCCCGCGUGGCUUUCCCCGUCGUCCGUUCUCCAUCACAAGCUACCGGAGAGCACAGCAAAAGAUCUCCCUCCCGAGACCACACCCCACCCAAUCUCUCUCUCUCUCUCUAGCUGAUGGUUCUCCGCGACCGCGAAUGGAGGCCCGAAGAACCAGCCGCGACUCUUCGAGAUCGAGCUCUCUGACGAUCGGCGAGCGGAUCUGUGCCGCUUUCAUACCGCUCGUGUCGAUAGCCGAGGUCGUGGCUUUCGCCGUCGGCAGUUGCUGCGAGAAGCGGGCGAGGCGCGACAAGAAGGGUCGCUGCUACCGGUUCGGCGACGUCAACCGCCUCGCCAGCGAGACGAGAUUUACGAGUAAUGAAGUCGAAGCGCUGUACGAGCUUUUCAAGAAAUUGAGCAGUUCAAUUAUUGACGAUGGCCUAAUUCACAAGGAAGAGCUUCAAUUGGCACUACUCAGCACUCCUAAGGGAGAGAAUCUUUUCCUAGAUCGGGUUUUUGACCUAUUUGAUGAGAAGAAAAAUGGUGUCAUAGAAUUUGAAGAAUUUGUCCAUGCUCUCAGCGUCUUCCAUCCCUAUGCCCCUGCAGAAGAGAAAAUAAGCUUUGCAUUCAGGCUGUAUGAUCUACGACAAACUGGGUUCAUUGAGCGAGAGGAAGUUAGGCAAAUGGUUCUUGCCAUUUUGAUGGAAUCUGACAUGAAACUAUCAGAUGAACUUCUUGAAGCUAUACUUGAUCGAGUAAGUUCAGACAUUUGCAGAUGCAGAUGCAGACAAGGAUGGCAAGAUCAAUAAGGAAGAGUGGAAAGCCUUCGUUCUUCGAAACCCUACUCUGUUGAAAAAUAUGACUCUUCCUUACCUGAAGGACAUCACCACUGUAUUCCCAAGUUUUAUCUUCAACACUGAGGUUGAAGAGUAAGGUGUUUACCACACAUUAUCUCGCACAUUCGACCAUUUCAGCAGGGUAGAGCUGUGAUGAGAAUCUCAGUUUGAAUUAGGCUUGAGAAGAACUCUAGUCUGACUCGCAUUUUCUGCAGAGUUGCUGGGGACCGGGAUGUGUGUACCCAGAGAUUGAGGUAAAGCAGGCUGUGAUGGCAAGUUAAGAAAGAUAGUUGCUGAUGAAUGGCCGACUGGUAGGGAACAUCUUUUGCCAUUUUCUUGACUUGUCCAGAUGAUUGGCAAAUUGGAGGGGGGCCGACAAAUGUAGCUGCUGCUUCUAUGUCAGAAGCGAAGCAAAGAUUAUUUUUGCAUGUUUUGUUACUGGCAAUCAAGAAGAGAUUCUGGGAGGGGUGGUAGCGAAGGUGAUGUUUGAGCACCGCAGAUUGAAUUUUUUUUUUUUUUUUAAAUAAAAAGUGUUUUGAAGAAAAAUUGGGACUCGGGAGAGAUCACAUUCUUGCUGGGGUUUUAUGUUUUUCACCAAAUUGUCUGUUUUCUAGAUAGGUUUGCUUUUUGUAUCUCACAUUGCAGAGUAGGUUUUCUGCAGCACCUAAAGGCUUCGGUGCACCGUAUGGUGGUGAGGGUCUUAUUAACAAGAACUCGAAACACUUGUUUAGUAUGCUUAAUUUAGAAUGAUUUUUCAGAACA